CAAAAGCUUCAAAUUACGGGGGCAUUACCUUCUUUCCUGUGACAUAAAAUGCUCCAUCCUUGUGAGAAUACUACCUUAUCUUCCUCCUUUUGUUUUCUGCUCAUAGAAGAGAAAUGGAAAUGUAUGUGCAGGCCCAUGUAGAAGCAUUUGGAUUACAGCGACACAAUGCAGUCCCAGUACAACCAUAUAAAUUAGCAUUAGAGAAGACUGAAGCCCAGCCAAAUUAUGUUUAUUACACAGAGAAAGAGGAUCCCCUGUUAAAUCAGUCCCUUGAUGCUCUUGCUGAUGCCAAUCAGGAAGGUUACAACUGCAAAUGUACCAAAAAUGUUAAAUUAACAGCUUUUUGAGGCUUCUAGAAUUUGUACGGUUCAAGGGAGAUUGGGCUGUUCAAUAUAUACUGUCUUGGCUGUGUUCCAUUACACAAAUAAUGAAGGCCUGCAGUGGAAAGUUACUAAUUUGCUCUAUAAUGAUGCCCCCUUUUCUUUGCAAACUUUUAAGUUGCCAUUUUUGGCACCGACUUUCCAGAACUUGUUCAGUGUCACAGGUCUGUGACAGGGAAAAUUUUCCAAACAACCUCAGAGUGCUGACACCUGGUGAGUGGGGAGAGGGGGGAAAGACAGAAGCAGGGUUGCCCUAGCAACAAAAACCUAGCAAAGUAAAACUAAUUGCCGAAUAGUCCUCAACUUCAGGACCAAAUAGAAUCUAUUGUGGGCAGGGGAAAAAAACAAGAUAAUCAGAAACCCAAUUAAAAAACAACCCAAAAAAAGCCAUGAAAACUCAGGGGACGAUGCCAGCAAUAAGGAGGAAAAAUAUUGUACUACGAAUCAACAGAAGGAACGCAUGACUCUACAGGCAUGGAUGUGGUGAAACUUGCAUGACUAUACCCCUCUUUUGCUUCCACUGUCAAGACUAAAAUAUGAAUUUGUGUGUUGAUUUUGGUUUUUCCUCAAAGGAGCAAAGGCCUUCAACCUGACAUGGAUCGAAAAAGUAUUUAUGCUUACAGCUAAUGACAUCCGGGGAAAUCCACAAAGUGUAUUCUUAUUAGGGAUGUGCUUCGGUAAUUAUUUGUAAUCUGAAGUGAACCAGGGGCAUAUGUUAAUUUCCAGAACAAUUUGGAGUGAAACAAAAGAAGCUUGAAGUGGAGCCCAAAUCAAUUUGAGAUUCUCUGAAGUGCUGAAUAUUGCUUUGUAGUUUUGGAUGUAAAAAAAAAUGGGGGGAGGGUCAUUUUGGCUCCAGCAAAUCUCUUUACAGAAUUAGGAAGUCCAAAGUAAAUAGAGAUUGACAGCUCAUGCAUCAAUGAAAAUCCCAAGCUCUACUGGAAAUCCAGGCAGCAAGGUCCCCAGGCCCCGAUCAGCCAUAUAAUUUUGGGGACAUUUAAGGUUGCUUGUUUCUACAUGGGAGACACUGUUUUACUUUCAGAAAAAUCAUAACUCAAAAACCAUUGCCCAAACCGCUCUUCUGGACUCAGCAUUGUCUUGGGAUUCUCAGAUUGCAGCUAUGUCUAGAUCUGUCUUUAAUUGCUGAAGCUCUGCUCCUACCUGGACAAGGGAGCUCUUAGGAUAUUUGUGCAGGCAAUAGUCAUCUCCCAGAUUGACUACUGCAAUGCUGUCUAUGUGGGGCUUCCCUUAAGGCUUACCCAUAGACUUCAAUGGGUCCAGAAUGUGAUGGCUAAACUGGUGGCUGGUAUAAGUACAUAUCCCCAGUCCUGGCCCACCUGCACUGGUUGCCUGUUAUGUCCUGAGUCAAUUUUGAGGUCUUGAUGCUUACCUAUAAAGCCCUCUAGGGUUUGGGACCAUGCAACCUGUCAGAGUGACUUUGCCCAAGGUCAUCUACCCACUCCAUCAGACCAUCUCAGGCAAUGUUCCUCCCAGUGGCCACUCUAAGAGAGACCAAUAAAUCUUCUAUGAGAAACA
rnacentral:lncRNA from 1 species